rnacentral:rRNA from 1 species
CUACGGAGGGGACUAGCGUUGUUCGGAAUUACUGGGCGUAAAGAGUUCGUAGGCGGACUGAUAAGUAAGAGGUGAAAUCCCAGGGCUCAACCCCGGAACUGCCUUUUAAACUGUCAGUCUAGAGACCGGAAGAGGUUAGGGGAAUACCUAGUGUAGAGGUGAAAUUCGUAGAUAUUAGGUGGAACACCAGUGGCGAAGGCGCCUAACUGGUCCGGUACUGACGCUGAGGAACGAAAGCGUGGGGAGCAAACAGGAUUAGAAACCCUAGUAGUCC